CCCGAGCUCGGCUCCGCUCGGCUCGUGUGCGGCCCCGCCGGGCCCUUGUUCCGCCGAUGGCGGCCGGGCUGGGGCCGUGGCUGCUGGGCUUGGGCUUGGCCUUGGGGCCGGCAGGCGUGUGGGCGCAGCUGAGGCUGGUGGAGGCCGGCGGAGGGCAGCGAGCGCCCGGGGACUCCGUGCUCCUCUCCUGCCGCGGACACGGCUCCGACUUCGGGAGAUACCGAAUCUGGUGGUACCGUCAGGCACCCGGUGGCAGGCUGCAAUGUGAGACUGCAACAGGAGCAAGAGACAACCUGCCAGCCCUGGGGGCAUCUCCAGUGUCCCAGCAGCACCAGCCUGCAGUGCAGCUCCAGUGGAAGGUUGGAGUGGCCCUACAGCACAUCUCCUUUUGCCCAGCAGAGGUUUUGCUGCCAAGUGAGCUGUGAUGGUUUAGUCUGAUAUCCACCCAGUCAUAAAGUCACUGCCUCUCCUAAACUGGACAGGAGAGACAGAGAAAUACACCAAAUGGCUUGUGAGCUGAGAUAAGGAUGGAGAGGCCACUCAGCAAUGAGCAUCACAGGCAAAACAGACUCAACUUGGGGAGAAAAAGGUUUGAU